GAGAUCGGGCGUUCCCCUUCGGGGGACAGGGUGACAGGUGUGCAUGGUUGUCGUCAGCUCGUGUCGUGAGAUGUUGGGUUUAAGUCCCGCAACGAGCGCAACCCUCGACCUUAGUUGCCAGCAUUCAGUUGGGCACUCUAAAGGUGACUGCCGGCUAAAAGUCGGAGGAAGGUGGGGAUGACGUCAAAUCAUCAUGCCCCUUAUGACCUGGGCUACACACGUGCUACAAUGGGCGGUACAAAGGGUCGCGAACCCGCGAGGGGGGGCCAAUCCCACAAAGCCGAUCGUAGUCCGGAUUGUUCUCUGCAACUCGAGAGCAUGAAGUCGGAAUCGCUAGUAAUCGCAGGUCAGCAUACUGCGGUGAAUACGUUCCCGGGUCUU
rnacentral:rRNA from 1 species